rnacentral:lncRNA from 10 species
AACUUUCAUUUUUUCUAUUUGUACAUGGCAGAACACCUUAGUUAUGUAAGAAUCCCUGGGCUGCUGUGAAGAGUGCCUAUGGCAGCAGAAUAAUGGUCUCCCGGAGGCGUACAUAUCCUAAUCCCUGCAACCUGUGGAUGCUACUUUCAUGGCAAAAUAAUUUUGGAACACAAGGAGGCAGAAAGAACUGUGUCCCAAUGUUGUGAGAAGAGAAAGACACAAUGAACCACUGCUGGCUUUGAAGAUGGAAGAGGGAGCUGCAACCCAAAGAAUGCCUCUAGAAGCAGGAGAAGGCAAGAAACAGAUUCUCGCCUAGAGCUUCCAGAAAGGAGCACAGUGCCAGCACUUUGAUGUUAGCCAUUCUUAAGAAGUGACUCUCCAGGGGAGCUAAAAUCCAUGUAUUUGGGCACACACUUGAACAAUAUUGCUAGAGAAAUUUAAGCAAGAGCACAAAGAAAGAAUCAUCUGAAAGGAAUGUGGAGAUCAGAGAAAAAUGAUGGGAAAGUUACCACAGCCUGCAAAUGAGAAAUGAUGAGAGCCUGCCUGGGUUUUGCCAGGACGAUUAAAUAUCAUUGAUGCUUCUGGUCUACAAUUAGUCAGAGAAGAGAUUAAAAAAAUGAUGAGUAUUCAAGAAGGAAAGUGUUUGCUUUAACAUAUGAAGAAAAGGAGCUUCAGAGUGGUGAUUAACCCCAGAAUUGUGUGGAACGGAUAUGGAAACAAGACCACAGGAGCAUCGAGAACUGAGCAGAACUGAAGGUGACAUGAAAAUCAGCUGCAAGAUUCACCUCAGGGUGAUAAUGGGCUGCAGGUGGCUGCAGGAAUCCCGGGACAUUCUAGGCACUGCCAUAUUUUCUUAGGGGCCAGUAAGGAUGGCUAUCAUCAGAUGUACCUGAUGAUACAAACAUGGGCUGUCUUGCCUUCUAGUAUUCAUUCUUGAUGAUUGCAUCCAGAGCUCACUUUGGAGGUGCAGAUCAACUCUUCUUCAGGCUCAUCCAUGCGACUUGAGUGGGCUCUCAUCCCCAUUCCCAGGGGCUUAUGACAAUCAAGGUUUCCACUCCUCCAUGGUCUCAAUGGUUUUUCUCCCCAUGGGAAGCACAUAAUCCCAUUAGAGGCCACGGGAAGCUUUUUUGUUGGGCUUUGAGGGAAAAAAGGCUUUUGCAGCCAAUGAAUCGAUCAAUGUGUACUUCAACCUGGAUUGUAUGUAUGCAUCUCCUAGAUUGGGCGGAUGAUGAAGUGAGGCUGGAAGUGCUGAGCAUCUUCCUACCUGGGAUGACUGGGCUGAGCAGGAAGCCUACCCCGGGGUUCCAGCCAAGUUGGAGCCUGUGAGUGUGUGGUGUAGUUUAACGCCCUGAUUAAAUCACUAGGAAGCCAUUUCUCUCUCUCCUCCCAGACCAGAUCAGACAAUAUGUUCCCUUAUUUCUACUAAAGCCCCAAUUGGAUUUUGUGUCUUUUGAUACUGAAAGAAUCUUACCACAAAUAAAAUAAUUUGUCAUGUGGCUCCUACAUAUUUAUUCAGUUACAUAAACUAACUAAAUAAAUGAAUAAACUGUCAAUAAUGGUAGUUCCUCAUCUAUGAAUGACUCUUUACAAAGCCUAUCUCGCUUAAUAGUCAUAAUAAAUACUGAAGUAGAUACUAUUUAUACCUUUUUUUUAAAAGGAAUUAAAUAUUUUCAGGGUUAUACAAAGCAUGAGUAUUGUGGGUACAAAUUCAAGCUUUCUAACUCAAAUUUGAAGACUUAUCCCCAGGAUACUUUUACAUCUUUAGCUAGUACCAUGUAUACCUCAAAAGCUUACAUUAUUUUUCACAUGUGUUAGGUUUUGAGGGAUAAUCAAUAAGGAGGGCAUACUUUCAGGCUUCUUAUUUAUAACUGUGAAAUUUAGAAAUUGAUGGAGUAGCAGAUUUCUCGGUAGGAGACAGCUGUUUUAAAAUGCCCCAUGUUUUUAUUAAAGUAAAAAUCUCAAAAAUUGUCUUUUAAAAAGUGGCUCUGGCCAAUCUUAGAUAAAACAUCAUUUACUAGACUUAGGAAUUUCCUGUAGUAAAUUUCAGAUUUACUUUUCGGUCUCACAUCAUCAAAGAGAUCAUAACCCUUUGUGCAAUUAUGGUCUUGAACCAAGGCCUAUUCUCUAGGUCACUGCUGUCAGGACUUCAAGAUAAUUGUUUCCAUUGCAGGAUUUGAUUUUUAAUUCCCCGGAUGUUCUUGACGUGGUUCAGUUCUUCAGGAAAUCAUCACCCUCAUGAGCCCUCCCUGCCACUUGCAGAUAGGGCUUUCUCCCGGUAAGUUCUGGAGUCACGGCAGAGCUCAAUAAGUCUGAUUGGGACCUCCUAUGAUUAU